GAACGGGCCAACGAGUUACGUUAAGUAGCAAGGUUAAGCACUUAAGGUGUGGAGCCGUAGCGAAAGCGAGUUUUAACUGAGCGUUCAGUUACUUGACGUAGACCCGAAACCGGGCGACCUACCCAUGGGCAGGAUGAAGCGAAAGUAAAAUUUCGUGGAGGUCCGAACCCACGAGCGUUGAAAAGCUCGGGGAUGACUUGUGGGUAGCGGUGAAAUUCCAAUCGAG
rnacentral:rRNA from 1 species